ACGAAGAUGAGCAGCAGAUGGUGGGAGCCAGCUGUUCUGGUGAAAGCUGGCAGUGGGCACACAUGGAGACUGUGAAAGACUUGCUUAUAAACAUACACAUCUGGGCCCUCUGCUCACCAGACUCCCAGCUGAAUCUUCAUGGGGUCAUUCCUCCACCUUCCCCAAGGACACCAAGUUACUCUCCGGGCCGACCCCAGCCAACCCUCCCGAUGUGCUUUGGCUCACACAUCUGUGUCGCUGUCCAAGGUGCCAACCAAUGCCAUCUUGCCAGCACUUUCAGCGGGGAACGCUUUCAGAGCGAACGUCCCAUAAAGCUUCUUGAAGACAACAACCCAGCCCUCGUGUCAGUCCCUGGACAAAGCCAAAUUAAUAUUUAAAGAUGAAUACUAAUGCCCAGAAGUGAAAUGCAGAGUCUAGGUAAUUAAUUGAUUGAGCUGGGUUGUCCGUGGAGAGAUUAGACCGGAUGAGUGUUGUUUAUCUCUGUUGUUAUUGAAGUAUGCGCGAUUGCUUUAAGCAAAUGAUUUCCAAUUGAAUGUAAAGAAAAAGGGGGACAUGCUACUGUAUGUUUGACCUGUAAGGCAUUUCCAGUGAGUUCACGGAGCCGGUGCGCUGUAAUCAUUUGGGGAUGAAUUGUCUCUUGUGCUUUCCCACCGCAUGUAACUGCCGUAAAUUUGCAGAGCCCAUCAUUUAUUAUACAACACGGUCUAUAAACGGGACCUGCAGACCUGUUUUCACAAGCUUGUACAACAAGUGGAUGGAUUUCCACUAAUGAUAAUAGCAGAUGCACUUGGCAAGACAAUACGGUGGGUUUUACAUCUCUUGGCUGACUUCCUGUAUAAACUGUUGUGUGUGAA